GAUGAACGCUGGCGGCGUGCUUAACACAUGCAAGUCGAACGAUGAAGCCCAGCUUGCUGGGUGGAUUAGUGGCGAACGGGUGAGUAACACGUGAGUAACCUGCCCUUAACUCUGGGAUAAGCCUGGGAAACUGGGUCUAAUACCGGAUAGGAGCGUCCACCGCAUGGUGGGUGUUGGAAAGAUUUAUCGGUUUUGGAUGGACUCGCGGCCUAUCAGCUUGUUGGUGAGGUAAUGGCUCACCAAGGCGACGACGGGUAGCCGGCCUGAGAGGGUGACCGGCCACACUGGGACUGAGACACGGCCCAGACUCCUACGGGCGGCCGCCGUGGGGCUUCUUGCCCCCUGGGCGCCCGCCUGAUGCAGCGACGCCGCGUGAGGGAUGACGGCCUUCGGGUUGUAACCCUCUUUCCGUCGGGCCGCAGCGACAGUGACGGUACCUGCCGAAGCAGCACCGGCUCCCUCCGUG
rnacentral:rRNA from 1 species